UUUUCUUUCUCUUUUUUUUUCCAGCCACAUUGAGCUGUACUGCAAGGGUACAGAUGCACAGCGGGCAAAGGUCGUUAUACAAUCAGAACUGUAUUUAACCAAAGCAAGAGAGCAGCCAGCAAGUUACAGGUGUACACAAGCGAGUAUACAGGCUGACCAUGUUAAGAAGGGAGAAGAGGGAUGGCGAGGUAUAGAGCUAUGAUCAGUGCAUCCGGCGUGGGGAUUGGGGAGACUUCCAAAAUCUGGGUAGGCGCUUAUGAAACUACAAAACUUCCCUGGUCCCGCAGACAGGUGCUUCCCUGGAGACUGGGGCCGCCCGGGGUCAGCCAGGCUCCAAGCCCCACGCACCUCCUGCCGCCCAGGACUACGCCUCCCGGCGGCCUCUGCGCCCGGCGCCCAGGACUACACUCCCCGGCGGCCCCCACUUCGGAAGCGGUUUCGUCCAGAUCUGCCUUCCCGCCGCUGAUUGGCUGCUGGCGUCCGCCGACCGCGCGGCGGCUCUCGGAGGUGGUGUCGGUCCGCUUGUCCUGACGCCAGGGGUUGGCAGUAUUCAAGGACGUGGCGAUAGACUUCACCCAGGGAGAGUGGAACUACUCUGGGUGCUGCACAAAAAGACUUAUCCAGAGACGUGAUGUUGGAAAACUACCACAACCUGGUCUCUGUCGUAGGACUUUCCAGAUCUAAGCCAGAUGUGAUCUCCUUAUUGGAGCAAGAGAAGCAGCCUUGGAUGGUUACAAAGGCCUUGACAGGUGGACCUUGCCCAGAGAGAGACAGAGCAUGAACGGGGGAGGGGCAGAGAGAGAGGGAGACACAGAAUCGGA